rnacentral:sRNA from 1 species
GUUUAGCCCCGAUAGCAACGGCAUCCUUUUUUGUUUUUUUUAGCAAAAAAGAUAUAGUGAAUAGCGGGAAAUAGC